AUUGAACGCUGGCGGCAGGCCUAACACAUGCAAGUCGAGCGGAGCGGCGGACGGGUGCGUAAUGCCUAGGAAUCUGCCUGGUAGUGGGGGAUAACGUCCGGAAACGGGCGCUAAUACCGCAUACUAUCAGAUGAGCCUAGGUCGGAUUAGCAUGUUGGUGGGGUAACGGCUCACCAAGGCGACGAUCCCUAGCUGGUCUGAGAGGAUGACCAGCCACACUGGAACUGAGACACGGUCAAGACUCCUACGGGAGGCAGCAGUGGGGAAUAUUGCACAAUGGGCGCAAGCCUGAUGCAGCCAUGCCGCGUGUAUGAAGAAGGCCUUCGGGUUGUAAAGUACUUUCAGCGGGGAGGCGUUACCCGCAGAAGAAGCAACGGCUAACUCCGUGCCAGCCGCCGCGGUAAUAC
rnacentral:rRNA from 1 species